AGCCGGUGGUUCAGGUGGCCGGUCGGGCUGGAAGGGCGGGGAUGAGGGAUGGGACGCAUCCCCGGGGGAUGCUCCUCCAAAGCUUUUAUCGGGCGAGCGCAGUGGCUCACGCCUGUAAUUCCUGCACUUUGGGAGGCUAAGGGUCUCACUCUAUUGUCUAGGCUCGAAUGCAGUGACGUGAUCAUGGAUCACUGCAGUCCUCAACUUACUGGGCUCAGAGAUGGGGUUUCACCAUAUUGGCUAUGCUGGUCUCGAACUCCUGACCUUGUGAUCCACCUGCCUUGGCCUCCCAAAGUGCUGGGAUUACAGGAUGAAAGGCUUCCUAGCACAAACACCACCCCUGGAGUUCCCGGUACAUCAAUACCAGCCUGGGGAUCACGUUCUCAUCAAGAGUUGGAAGAGGGAAAGCUUGAACCAGCUUAGGAGGACCUCAUCUGGUACUCUUGAUGAAUGAAACAGCAAUCUGAAUGGCUGAAAAAGGAUGGACCCAGCACUCCAGGGAGAAAACUUGGCAUUCUUUGGGAAUCUAACAGGAUGCAGUGAACCCAAGCCUUUUGAAGAGCUCACC
rnacentral:lncRNA from 10 species